rnacentral:rRNA from 1 species
GAUUAACGCUGGCGGCGUGCGUAACACAUUCAAGUCGAACGGAGUAAAGUGCUUCGGUACUUUACUUAGUGGCGGACGGGUGAGUAACGCGUGAGCAAUCUACCUCCAGGUGGGGAAUAACAACCGGAAACAGUUGCUAAUACCUCAUGAAAUAGCAGAACCGCAUGGUUCAACUAUCAAAGGCUUGCUGCCUGGAGAUGAGCUUGCGUCCGAUUAGAUAGUUGGCGGGGUAACGGCCCACCAAGUCGACGAUCGGUAGCCGGACUGAGAGGUUGAACGGCCACAUUGGGACUGAGAUACGGUCCAGACUCCUACGGGAGGCAGCAGUGGGGAAUAUUGGGCAAUGGGCGAAAGCCUGACCCAGCGACGCCGCGUGAGGGAAGAAGAUCUUCGGAUUGUAAACCUUAGUCAACAGGGAAGAAGAAAGUGACGGUACCUGUGGAGGAAGCCACGGCUAACUACGUGCCAGCAGCCGCAGUAAUAC